rnacentral:rRNA from 1 species
GACGAACGCUGGCGGCGUGCCUAACACAUGCAAGUCGAACGGAGAUUAUUAAUGAAGCUUGCGAUUUAAUAAUCUUAGUGGCGGACGGGUGAGUAACGCGUGGGCAACCUACCCAUAAGAGGGGGAUAACAGCUGGAAACGGCUGCUAAUACCGCAUAAACUUUUUAAGACACAUGUUUUAAAAAGGAAGGUGGCGCAAGCUAUCGCUUAUGGAUGGGCCC